UACGUAGGGAGCAAGCGUUGUCCGGAAUCAUUGGGCGUAAAGCGCGCGUAGGCGGCCUCGUAAGUCCGUUGUGAAAGUCAAAGGCUCAACCUUUGAAAGCCGAUGGAUACUGUGAGGCUAGAGUCCGGAAGAGGCGAGUGGAAUUCCUGGUGUAGCGGUGAAAUGCGCAGAUAUCAGGAGGAACACCGAUGGCGAAGGCAGGUCUCUGGGCAUUAACUGACGCUGAGGAGCGAAAGCAUGGGGAGCGAACAGG
rnacentral:rRNA from 1 species